rnacentral:rRNA from 1 species
AUUGAACGCUGGCGGCAUGCUUUACACAUGCAAGUCGAACGGUAACAGGGAGCUUGCUCCGCUGACGAGUGGCGAACGGGUGAGUAAUGCGUCGGAACGUGCCGAGUAGUGGGGGAUAACGCAGCGAAAGUUGUGCUAAUACCGCAUACGUACUGAGGUAGAAAGUGGGGGACCUUCGGGCCUCACGCUAUUCGAGCGGCCGACGUCUGAUUAGCUAGUAGGUGAGGUAAAGGCUCACCUAGGCGACGAUCAGUAGCGGGUCUGAGAGGAUGACCGGCCAAACAGGAACGGAGACACGGCUCAGACUGCGAUGGGAGGCAUCAGUGGGGAAUUUUGGACAAUGGGCGAAAGCAUGAUCCAGCCAUGCCGUGUGUCUGAAGAAGGGCUUCGGGUUGUAAAGGACUUUUGUCGGGGAGGAAAUACCCAGCGCUAAUACCGCUGGGGGAUGACAGUACCUGAAGAAUAAGAACCGGCUAACUACGUGCCAGCCGCCGCCGUAAUAC